UAAGAAGAGGAAGAACAGCUCUUGAAUUUUUAGGAGGGGUCUCAAGUGGGUUGCCAUGUGGUCCUCAAUCUAGAGUCCUUUAUAGUGUUGAGGAUCAAACCCAGGACCCCAUGAAAGCAUGGGUUAAGCAAAUACCACCACGGAGCUAACACUCUGCAGCCUUCAUGAAGCAUCUUGAUCCUCGUCAAUAAAAACUGAACAGAGAAGCCAAGAGUGGUGUUGCACGGCUGUAAUCUGUGCACUCGGGAGGCCGAGGCAGGAGGAUUGCUUCACCAACCUUAUGCUGGGGACAAUGACUGGGACUCGAUUCAG